rnacentral:rRNA from 1 species
GAUCCUGGCUCAGAUUGAACGCUGGCGGCAGGCCUAACACAUGCAAGUCGAGCGGUAGAGAGAAGCUUGCUUCUCUUGAGAGCGGCGGACGGGUGAGUAAUGCCUAGGAAUCUGCCUAGUGGUGGGGGAUAACGUUCGGAAACGGACGCUAAUACCGCAUACGUCCUACGGGAGAAAGCGGGGGAUCUUCGGACCUCGCGCCAUUAGAUGAGCCUAGGUCGGAUUAGCUAGUUGGUGAGGUAAUGGCUCACCAAGGCGACGAUCCGUAACUGGUCUGAGAGGAUGAUCAGUCACACUGGAACUGAGACACGGUCCAGACUCCUACGGGAGGCAGCAGUGGGGAAUAUUGGACAAUGGGCGAAAGCCUGAUCCAGCCAUGCCGCGUGUGUGAAGAAGGUCUUCGGAUUGUAAAGCACUUUAAGUUGGGAGGAAGGGCAGUAACCUAAUACGUUAUUGUUUUGACGUUACCGACAGAAUAAGCACCGGCUAACUUCGUG